rnacentral:rRNA from 1 species
AGACGGAGGGCGCGAGCGUUGUUCGGAAUUACUGGGCGUAAAGCGCGCGCAGGCGGACGUGGCAAGUCGGUGGUGAAAUCCUGGGGCUCAACCCUGGGGCUGCUGCCGAUACUGCUCGUCUAGGGACCGGUAGGGGCCGGUGGAAUUCCCGGUGUAGCGGUGGAAUGCGUAGAGAUCGGGAAGAACACCUGUGGCGAAGGCGGCCGGCUGGGCCGGAUCCGACGCUGAGGCGCGAAAGCGUGGGGAGCAAACAGGAUUAGAUACCCUGGUAGUCCACGCCGUAAACGAUGGGUGCUAGAUGCCGGUGGGAGCGACCCCUUCGGUGUCGUAGCUAACGCGUUAAGCACCCCGCCUGGGGAGUACGGCCGCAAGGCUGAA